GUAAUUGUAAUGUGAUAUUGUACCCCCUAGCUCGAUUGUCUAUUGUUUGUAAUCUAUGUAUGCUUGUGUUCCCUCAUGUGCUUUAUGUAUUGAUUUGAAAUUAAUGAAAAAAAAAAAAAAGUCUCUAUGUAUUCCAUAGAGGCUUCCUGUUUAUAUUAGUUGUUAUGUUUGGUGUAUGGCAUUAAUAAGAACGGAAUACUUAGUGCUUAACACUGCUCUGUGUUGGGGGAAAUUAAUGAAUAUUCAUCGGGCUUGGACGAUAUAUCUUUAUUUUGAUAUCAUUUUGAUACCUUCAAGGCUAGGGUAUAGUCCACUUUAAGUGCCUUCUUUCUCAGGUUUAUAUAGAGAAAGUGGCAUGUUGGAUUGUUAAUUAGGCUGCUUGCUGGUUGAUGUCAGACGGCUAAUAACAAGUUAGUUGCAUGCUGAACCAAAGUUGAAGGAUCAAAUGAAAUGAGACGUUUGAAUACACUCCAAUACAAAUUACACUCUAGUGUGUACCACUAAAACGUGAUGGCGCCAAUAGGGUUUUAGCAUUCAUACUCUUUUCCAUUCCUAUAUCGUUCAGUAAUGUAUCCUUUUUCACUGGCUCAGCCAUGUUUUACACAGCGAUGCCUCACUUUUUUUCAAUCCAAUCUUAUCAAUUCCUAUUCAAAUUAAUCAAAGGUAAAGUAAUAUUGUAAUGUGGAUUAAUAUAAUAUACAUACACGUCCUAAUAUUUUCUAGUAAUUCAAUAUUUUAUAUGGCUUUGUUUUUGCUAUAAUUAUUUGAAUUGGGAGAUUAUCAUUAUACUGUAUAUCGUUGGCAGAGUGAUAUAACUAAGUCUAUACACAACUUUGUAAAGAAUUAACACUUCAAAAGACUGCCGAACCUUUUGAUGUAGCCUUGCAUGAACAUUUUCUAUAAAGUUGAUUUCUAUCAAUAUGUCGUUUGUGUUAAAAUACUCCCAAGUAUAUGAGGAAAACCUUUGAAUUACCACGGUGGCAUAUGAUUGUAUACUGGAUACUUUCCGAAUGUUCUUUAACAUAAAUAAAACAUGAACUGAAAAAGAAUAUAAAAGUAUGUGUGACAAGGCCAAGAUGGCGGCUUGACCUUAUGCUUUUUAUUUAUUUUUACCGAGUUCCGCACCAAACUUCAGAAAGAUUGUGGAAACAAAACUGGUUUACAGUCAUUACUAUUUUUAUUUGUUCAAUAUAUAAAAAAUGUUCCUGUGACUGGAAUAAUAAUUUGAUAAUUUAUUUCGGCAUGUUCAUGCGAAGUCGUGACAAAAAAAAGAAAUGGAAGAAGCUAUCAGUUCUAUUGCUAAUCAACAAGAGAGGAACGUGCUUAUAGACUCCCUGCCAUAACUACGCUUUCCCUAUGGAUAAUAUCAUGCUGUUGAAGGUGACGAGUUCCCCUCUUUACCGGUUACUCCGUGCAAACCUCCACCCUGCAAAAAAAAAACAUGCACUCUGAGAUCGUGGCCACCCUCUCCUUACUCAUCAACUCCAGGUCUUACGCAAUUGAAGGAAAUAGUAGGUGCGAACACCAUGGUAAUCGAAGGCUUUAAACAGACUGAGUUGAAAAAAGUGUUGAAAAGGUGGAACAGAAUUCAAUGUAUACCACAGACGUCUCACUGAUCUGGAGCAAUACACAACCAGAUGGAACCUGAGACUACGGCGUGCCAGAGGUGGAGAAUGAAGGUGUGCGACGAGAGGCUGUCCGCAUCUGCCAAGAAGUUAUGUCUGCAUAGAAUAACAAACGUUUGUGAUACUAUCGACGUUGUGCAUCGCCUCGGCAAGAAGCAACAGCAAAACGAUUCAAGACCAAGGGGUAUCAUCAUCCUCUUCACUGCCAGAUUCUACAGUGAUGCUGUCUGGAAAGCUGCUAGGAAGAACGCCUUCCUUCAGAGCCAUGGUCUGCGUUUCGCCGAGCAUCUCAGCCCGGAGGACAUAGAAAGAAAGAAAGAAAGAAAGAAGGAACAAGUUGUGGCCAACGAUCAAGAAAGGGUGAAGGGUAAGGUGAAGGCUUCGUCGGAGGACGAGGCUUCAUCAACGGUUCGGAAAUCAAUAUUCCUCCCUAGAAUCUCACCAGAAGGAACUCACCAGAGAACAGCCAACCCAGGGCCAGACCACGCUGUUGAUGGUGAAAGCAGGACAGGUGAAGUUUGACGGACAGAAGCAGCGUUACUUCAAUCAGAACUUCCUCCUCACAGCCCAGGCUUCUCCCACCAGUGACCAGCCUGUCUGGAAGAUCGCCAGUGACUGUUUCUGCAUCCAGGACUGGAGUAGCUGAGGGCUACUUUUAUCUGCUUUCAGGGUCGUAUUCAUUAGGGCACACAAUGGCAACGGGAUACGAAACAAGCGUUUUAUUUUACCAACAAGCAAGUUUGUUAAGAACAAAUUCUUAUUUACAAGGACAGCCUACACCGGCCAAACCCGGACGACGCUGGGCCAAUUGUGCGCUGCCCUGUGGGACUCCCAAUCACGGCCGGUUGUGAUACAGCCUGGAUUCGAAUCAGGGUGUUUGUAGUGACUCCUCUAGCACUGAGAUGCAGUGCCUUAGACUGCUGCGCCACUUUGGAGCCCAAUAAUAACACAAUAGACAAGUUGGACAAGUUUCAGUCUGUUUGGUACCUAAUGAGUACAACCCUGCUGUUUGGUCUUUUUUUAUACCACUAUCUACCAGUCUUAUAAUAGUUGGUAAAUAUGCCCUUUCUUUUAAGUUACACUGUGUAUGUUAAUGAAGGUACUGUGUACCUAAAGCCUUUUGUAAUAAAAUAAACA